rnacentral:misc_RNA from 1 species
GAUGAAGAACGCAGUGAAAUGCGAUAAGUAGUGUGAAUUGCAGAAUUCAGUGAAUCAUCGAAUCUUUGAACGCACAUUGCGCCUCCUGGUAUUCCGGGAGGCAUGCCUGUUCGAGCGUCAUUAAAAUCACUCAAGCUUAGGUUUACCUAUUGCUUGGUCUUGGAGAUGGAAGCCAAUUUAUUGGAAUCCUCUUCGAAAUUCAAUGGCGAAGACCCUUGCUCUCCCAAGUGUAGUAAUAAUUAUGUCACUGAAGGAAGCGAGAAGUCUUCUGCCGUAACCCCCAUAUUUUCUAUGAUUGACCUCGGAUCAGGUAGGGAUACCUGCUGAACUUAAGCAUAUCAAUAAGCGGAGGA